GUUUUAAUAGUUUAAUAAAAACAUUGGUCUUGUAAACCAAAAAUAAGAUUUUCUUUUAAAACU
rnacentral:tRNA from 2 species